UGCCAGCCGCCGCGGUAAUACGGAGGGUGCAAGCGUUAAUCGGAAUUACUGGGCGUAAAGCGCUCGUAGGCGGUUGAUUAAGUCGGAUGUGAAAGCCCAGGGCUUAACCUUGGAACUGCAUUCGAUACUGGUCAGCUAGAGUACAGUAGAGGCAAGUGGAAUUUCCUGUGUAGCGGUGAAAUGCGUAGAUAUAGGAAGGAACAUCAGUGGCGAAGGCGACUUGCUGGACUGAUACUGACGCUGAGGAGCGAAAGCGUGGGUAGCAAACAGGAUUAGAUA
rnacentral:rRNA from 1 species